rnacentral:rRNA from 1 species
GUAAGGAAUAUUGGUCAAUGGACGAAAGUCUGAACCAGCCAUGCCGCGUGAAGGAUGAAGGCCCUCUGGGUUGUAAACUUCUUUUAUCUGGGACGAAAAAAGGGUAUUCUUACUCACUUGACGGUACCAGAGGAAUAAGCACCGGCUAACUCCGUGCCAGCAGCCGCGGUAAUUCGGAGGGUGCAAGCGUUAUCCGGAUUCACUGGGUUUAAAGGGUGCGUAGGUGGGUAUUUAAGUCAGUGGUGAAAUCUCCGAGCUUAACUCGGAAACUGCCAUUGAUACUAUUUACCUUGAAUGCCCUGGAGGUAAGCGGAAUAUGUCAUGUAGCGGUGAAAUGCUUAGAUAUGACAUAGAACACCAAUUGCGAAGGCAGCUUACUACGGGGUGAUUGACACUGAGGCACGAAAGCGUGGGGAGCAAACAGGAUUAGAUACCCCAGUAGUCC